ACAGAUUGCAUCUUACCUUGUAAACAGCAUACUAGUCCUGUGGUGACCCCAGAAACGACAUCACCGGGCUCUGCUCAGCCGUUCUCGUAAACUCUGGAUCUCUUGGGCUUGUCUCUCAUGAACCUGGUCAAAGACCCGGUUUGAGUAGAUACGUCGUGACACGUGGUAAUCAUUUUCAUGAAAACACUCGUCCAUCAUAUUGCCUGAUUUGUUUGUCUGUGAAAAUCUGCUUGUGUUGUAUCUCCUCUGUUAGAAAAAAGAAAAGCAGAUUGAUUAGUUUUCAGAUUCAUUUCGAUUUGCUGCUGCCAAUGAAAAUGAUGCUAGAUAAGCGAACACUUAGAGGGUCUCACCUCCCCUGUGUCAGAACAAUCUGAUCGAACAGACCAAAAGAGCCCUUCUCCCUUUCUCUGGCUGUAUACUCCCUGCUCAAUAGACCAGCUCUUCCAGGUCUGCACUAAGAUCA